rnacentral:rRNA from 1 species
AAUGAACGCUAGCUACAGGCUUAACACAUGCAAGUCGAGGGGCAGCACAGUGUCGCAAUACAUGGGUGGCGACCGGCGCACGGGUGCGUAACGCGUAUCCAACCUUCCCGUUACUCUUGGAUAGCCCUCCGAAAGGGAGAUUAAUACAAGAUGGUAUUCAAAUUCCGCAUGUUAUUUGAAUUAAAGAUUUAUCGGUAACGGAUGGGGAUGCGUGACAUUAGAUAGUAGGCGGGGUAACGGCCCACCUAGUCUACGAUGUCUAGGGGGUCUGAGAGGAAGGUCCCCCACACUGGAACUGAGACACGGUCCAGACUCCUACGGGAGGCAGCAGUGAGGAAUAUUGGUCAAUGGUCGGAAGACUGAACCAGCCAAGUAGCGUGAAGGAUGAAGGUUCUAUGGAUUGUAAACUUCUUUUAUACGGGAAUAAAACACCUUACGUGUAGGGUCUUGUAUGUACCGUAUGAAUAAGCAUCGGCUAACUCCGUGCCAGCAGCCGCGGUAACAC